GAUGAACGCUGGCGGCGUGCCUAAUACAUGCAAGUCGAGCGAACAGACGAGGAGCUUGCUCCUCUGACGUUAGCGGCGGACGGGUGAGUAACACGUGGAUAACCUACCUAUAAGACUGGGAUAACUUCGGGAAACCGGAGCUAAUACCGGAUAAUAUAUUGAACCGCAUGGUUCAAUAGUGAAAGACGGUUUUGCUGUCACUUAUAGAUGGAUCCGCGCCGCAUUAGCUAGUUGGUAAGGUAACGGCUUACCAAGGCAACGAUGCGUAACCGACCUGAGAGGGUGAUCGGCCACACUGGAACUGAGACACGGUCCAGACUCCUACGGGAGGCAGCAGUAGGGAAUCUUCCGCAAUGGGCGAAAGCUUGACGGAGCAACGCCGCGUGAGUGAUGAAGGUCUUCGGAUCGUAAAACUCUGUUAUUAGGGAAGAACAAAUGAGUAAGUAACUAUGCACGUCUUGACGGUACCUAAUCAGAAAGCCACGGCUAACUACGUG
rnacentral:rRNA from 1 species